AUGCCUUGAAAACAGCCCAGCAAGCUACAGCUGCUGAGCCAUUUCCCAGGAUCCUGCCCCAUGUCAUCAGCUAAGCAGCGAUGCUGAGCCAGUGCCAUGGCAAAGGCCGGUGCCUUGGCAUCGGCAGAGCAAGCAGGGAACGGUGACUCUCAGAGACUGGUACGGUGAUUUCAGCCGAACAUGCCAGCGUUGCCACCUCUCCCAGAGGCAUCGCAUUGUGAUAUUCAGUGCUUUGCUUAAAGCCUCAGCUGCUGGAAUCCGGUUGUUUCCCGCCCUUAAAAGUCAGCGUCUAGCUCUCAUGGAAUGUAAAGGAAAACUUUAAAAAUGUGACCCCCUAAACAUGCCAGCAUCAGAAAGCCAAUGGCAAGAAGAGGCCAACUCACCAUCCAUGACCAGUCAAGAUAUCCUCCAUGAGUGAAGUUGUGGAAACUAGAAGUCUCUAGGUGAAAUUUUUGAGAGAUGAAGACCGAGCAUCUGGGGGUGAACACCAGGGAUGGCGAAGAGCCAUUUAAGCUAACGGGCAAUGCUGGCACAGGAACAAAUGGGAUCCAGAACCUUGCAAAAUUAAGAUACGCAGCCUAGAUGGAAGCCCUGCAUAUUCUCCCCUCAAUGCACACAAACAUUUAUCUUUCAGCUACCUGAGACACACAUGAGUACCUUCAGGGAAUCCUAAUUAAAUGCUCAGCAUGUCCCUUUAUCAGCCAGGGAUGUUGUCAUCCCCCUUAUCAGACUGCACACAGCUGUGGAAGCACUGAUCCUUUGCAGAAUUCAGUCUUCAUUCAGAGUAACCUGCCCUCCAAGGUAUGUUACAAUGCGGGGCAAAAAUCACAAAACCAUCUCGACUUUUAUUUUCAGGUUGUUUCCUGGUCUGUCAGUACAGAGAUGGAGACACCUUUUUGUCCCUCUCUGAGACAAGGGGCAAAGAGCACGUGGGUGGGGUGAGAGGUGGAGAGUGCUUUUUGACUUCACGAUUUAGAACAUGCUAACAGUAUAACUCCAACCUCCCCUUGAGCUGCAUGGCACCAGCACCAGGUGCUGACACCAUUAAGAGAUUCCCACUUAGCAUUGCUAAGAACCAUGCAGGAAAACCUUGUUUUCUAUUCAAAAAAGACUGCACACAUUUAAAAAAAAAACCUAAUCCAAAAGCAAACAAAGUCCUAGCUGCCAUCUCUAUCUAUAAAUUGCAGAGCAUGCAGUCCUAUCAGCUGGGGGCCAUGUGGGACGGACAGUGUUACACAUGUGUCUUUUGUGCCAUCAGAUUUUUUUUGCAGUGAAUUUAUUGCCGCCCUCUAUCCCCAGAACAGGUAUAACGUGGGCAGCAGCAGAGCAAGCACCUGUAAUGCUGCCCUGCCAAUAUGUCUCAGUUCUGCCUGGGGCUCAUACAACUGCACUGAGGGGACUAGCAGUGAAAGGAGAGUUCACUCUUCAGUCUUGCCCCCCCCCCGCCCCCUUUUAAAUUCCCAGCAAAUGGAGCCAGUUCACAGAUUGAUCAAUUCCAAGGCCAUACACACAAGACUUUCCCCAGAAUAAUUCCUUUUGAACCGGAGUUAUCAUAAUUCUUUGCUCUUAUAAAACCUCUUUCAUCCCAGGAUUUUAAAAUGCUUUAUAAAUAAUGCACUGCUCCACACAGUACUCCUGGGUGGGUAAUAGUAAUAUCACUGUUUUACAGAUUGGACUACUGAGGGACAAAAGGGUAACUGAUUUAACCAGAGUCACAGAAAAUCUGGGGCAGAAUUGGGAGUAGAACCCAGGAAUCCCCCAGUUCUAACAGCUAGAUACAAUCCCCUCCAAUGGUGUGACAGGUCUAACAUGUACUGUCAAAUGAGAUAGGCCAGAGCACAAAAGCCUACUAGGAACCAUACUGAAACCAACUCCCCCUAAUGCUCAGCCACUCAGCAGCUGCAACAUGCUAGUGGUCACCACUGCCCUAGAGCAGAAUCAGGCAGGUGAGAUCUAUGAAAAGCUUCCUGUCCUCAUUACUGACUGCCUAUUUAACAGCAUGUGCUGUUUCCAUUUGCAUUCAUCUAAAUUGCUUAGUGACACCCCUUCCUGCUGAACCAUUCCCUGACAGAGAAACUUCAGUGCUAUGGUGUGGAUGCAAGAUGAGCAGGUGAAAAUGAAACAGCCCUUGCAGCAAAUUUUUUUCCUUCUAGACUGUUCAAAACAGCAUAUAGACCAUCAGGGCACUGACAAACACCACAUUUGUGCUCUCCACCCAUGCCAGGUAUUUCAAUGGAAUCCCUCUCUGCAAACUCCUGUGGCACAGAGCUGUCAGUGAUCCUUUUGCACUAAUAGGUAUGGGUCCUGCAGCUGGAGACCAGGAGCAGCUCCUCCUUAGUCAUCAGAAGAAGCUGCAAUGAGAGACUACAUCUGGAGUCAGAUACUCAAUAUCAUGCUCAGUAAAAGAACUGUUCCUGGCUGCUGUGGCAUUACCUUGGCCACAAACCUUUAUUCCCAAAAGGAAAUUAUCCUGGCAACACGGACAUUCUGGGAGAUCUGGUGCCAAAUCUUGCCCACAGAUCAUGGACUUUAAAUUGACUCAUCCCAGCACUGCUGAGAAGACAAAAGAGCUGCAUCCCAUACAAGUUUCACGUAUGCCAUUACCUCCAGUGGUCAAAUCAAGGCAUUUCACCUGCACUUACAAUUAAAAUACACCUUAUAGUGCACAUCAGCCUAACUCAGUGGUUCCCAAACUUGUGAGGUCAGCCCCUGCCUUACUCUUAAUGUAAUUCCCCCCCCCCCCAGGCACUGGGGCUGGGAGCAGGGCCACGGUCAGGGGUGCAGGUGAGAGCUGGGGACCAUGGCUGGGGGUACAUGCCAGAGGCCAAGGCCAGGGCCGGAACUUAGGGCAGAGCAGGGCUGGGUGGCACUUCCUCCAUACCCCCUGUGGUGACUGGCCCAGGUCCUGCUGUGCCCCCCGAAUAUUCCUCUGCACCCCUCUGGGGGGGUGCAUCUCAGUUUGGGGACCCCUAGCCCAACUCCAGCCUGACACCAAGACACCGAUAAGUGCCUCCUACACUCAUAUUGCUGAGCAUCAAGCAAGUGGUGCAUUCACUGAGCUGUGUAAAAAUGAAGGUAGACACACAUCUGUAACAUGCUGAUCAAUGGGAUCCUUCAGGGUAGCUGUGGGAGAGUGACAGAGAAAUGGGCAAAGGAGAAUUGUCAGGUCUCUGAUUGAUCCGGAGAGUGAUAGGUGACCUCUUCUGAACACUUGCAUGGACUUAGGUUCAGACCUCAGAGUAAUUUCAGUUCAUUGUUUUCCAGAUCAGAAUACAGGUCAGGGUCUAGAGCCCCAGGCACACACUGCAAGUGUUAAUGCUACAGCAACAAAUUGCUUUUACUGUAAGUUGCUAAUAACCACCAGGAGAUCAUCAUGUGCCCAUUACAUUAUACACAAUACAAGCCCACCCACACACCAAGGCUGGCUGUAAGCGUACACAAAGGAAAUAGCUUCUUGUGCCCUGCUCAUUUGGAGCACAACAUCUCUUGCAAGUUCUGCACCCUAUGUGCUCAUCUCAGAAGGGCCAGAAGCAUAGCCUUGUUAAGGUACAGGAUUGGGAACACAGAGAUGUAGCCUCUGCUCCUGGCUCUGCUGCAGACUCACGGUGUGACCACAGACAAGUCACUUAACCUCCCUCUCGCUCUAUUUCCCCAUCUGUAAAAUGGGGAUCAAACUUCUCCACAGCAUGAUGUUACGAGACCUAUUCAUGUUCACCCGUUUAUGGGAGGGGCUCAGGCACUACGGCGGUGCGUGCCACACAAAUUCCCAUAAAUGAACUAGAUGCUAUCAUCCCACUAGAAGGGCCAAAGGGUGAGGCAACUUGAGGCCCUGCUGAAGGGUGGGGUCUGUACAUAGUGAGGUUGUCCCGACAUGCCAACUGCGAAGACCUGACAAAGGAUUCUUCUCACUCCCAAUGGAAUGAGUGUGACAAGCUGUUUAAAGGUUCAACAGGGGAAUAGUUUUAUUCUAGUUAGAAGCUUACAAAGAAAAAGUUCCAAUACUGAGCUCCAUGUGGACACGGUGGGAAUCUAGGAGCUCAUAGCAAAGCCUGAAACCCUCACCAUAAUCUGCAAACAGCUAGUUACCUUCUAGCUCCCCCUAGUGGUAUGUUGCAUAACAGAAUUACCUGCCCAAGGAAUAAAUCUUUGAAGAUGCCCAUGCAGUUAUGACAUUGAUAUCAUAGGGCAAACUUGAAACUUCAUUGCAUAUUUAGAGGAAAUAACCUUUCCAAGGGAAUAUGGCAUGAUUGCCAUCUCCUAGGAGUCAAGGCAGAGCUUGCAUCUGACUGCUCCGGGUGCCCAUUUAUUAAGUGUGUUUAGUCUUGUACAAGACACAAUCCUUGCCUGAAAGAGGUUACCCUCUAAACACCAGACAGACAGACAUGCUGCAAGAUCCAGGGUCAUCAUAUGAAGUUUAAGAAUCAUUUUACUGCUUUUAUUGAUUAGAUAAUUAUUCUUCACUUUAAAAUUGGCUGUUGCAGAAAGGUCCUGAGGCAUUUCCUGCUUAAACUACUUAGACAAAGAGUGAAUACAGUUGGACUUACUCAAAAACCACUGCAAUUUAGACCCACAUGAUGGUCCAAGAUGUUUUAUUUGUAAGACUCACUUAUGGAAAAGUCACAUAGAAAAUUAUAGCCUUUCUAUAGGUAUUUUGAAGCAGACUUUAGAAUUUAAUAGAUAAUUAUAUCCCUGGUACAGAAUUCCUUAGGAUGCUGCAAAAAACUUAUGGAAAGCAUAUACACCGCUACCUCGAUAUAACGUGACCUGAUAUAACACAAAUUCAGAUAUAAUGCGGUAAAGCAGUGCUCCGGGGCGGGGCGGGGCUGCGCACUCCAUUGGAUCAAAGCAACUUCAAUAUAAUGCGGUUUCACCUAUAACGUGGUAAGAUUUUUUGGCUCCCAAGGACAGCGUUAUAUCGAGGCAGAGGUGUACUUCUCUAUAAAACAUAAUAGCAGUUUCUUUUUAGAGGCAUGUCAGACUGAUUCAAGUCCUUCCUUACAGCAAACAUCUUCCAAUAGCCUAUCAACCUUAGUAUUUCCCUGAAAAAGGUCAGAACAGAAGAAAAACCCUCUAUGCAGUAUUUUGCUGUAUCCCAUCCUUCAUCUGUCCAUUGUUUAUUUAGAUACUGACCUCUUUGGGGCAAGGAAUGUCUUCUUACUUUUACUGUAAAAGGGCCAAGAGCACAUGUGACUCAAUAAUAAAAGGUGCAGUGGGUUAGUAUACUGGCCUUUCACCUGUGUGGAUCCAAGUUUAACUCCUAGGUAAAAUAUAAAUAUUGUAGAGUGGGGGAUCCUUCAAGGUUAGUAAUACUAGAGAUUUAUGCAGGUUAGAGAACCAUCACACAGUUCAGCUUUGAUAUGUAGUCUGCUCAGGAGAAGCCCAGGAUUGAAAUAACGUGACAGUGUCAAGAUCGACAGCACUGACAGAAUCACGGGGGAGCCAGGACUAGAAUACCAGGGACGCUAUAGGUCAGGAUCAAAGGCUAUGCAUUUGUAGAGGGCAGGGGAGCUGGCUCCAGAUUAGAAUAGUAGGGAUUGGUGCAGAUCAGGAUUCAGGUGCUCUGCCAGAGUACAGGGACAAAAUUAGAAUAGCUGAGGAUACUGCAAACUGAGGAACACUGCCAUAGGUGUGCAGGGGCUUAGAACUGAAACAGUCUGUUUUGGGAGAUGAUUGCAAUUCAGGACAGAAGUGCACUGGCGGAGCUGUGUAGGGAACCGAGUGCUGGAACAGUCCGAUAGUGUUGCAGACACAGUAGAAUCUUGAGGAGGGGAAAAAGAAGGCAUAUACAUUUAGUGAGUGGUUUGCUAAAUGAAACAGUCUUUGCUCAUUCUGAAGUCAGUAUCAAAAACACUUCAGAGGUGAGAGGAAGGGGCAGCUGCACUGUAAGAGAGGAGAGUUCACAGACUAUUGCUAAACAGUCUACAUCUAGUGUAUCAGUUUUGCUAUGAACAUAAGAAUGGCCAUACUGGGUCAGACCAAAGGACCAUCCAGCCAAGUAUCUUGUCUACCAACAGUGACCAAUGCCAGGUGUCCCAGAGGGAGUGAACCUAACAGGUAACGAU